UACGGGGGGGGCAAGCGUUGUUCGGAUUUACUGGGCGUAAAGGGCGCGUAGGCGGCCACCGCAAGUCGACUGUGAAAUCUCCGGGCUUAACCCGGAAAGGUCAGCCGAUACUGCGGGGCUAGAGUGCAGAAGGGGCAACUGGAAUUCUCGGUGUAGCGGUGAAAUGCGCAGAUAUCAGGAGGAACACCGGUGGCGAAGGCGGUUCUCUGGGCAUUACCUGACGCUGAGGAGCGAAAGUGUGGGGAGCGAACAGG
rnacentral:rRNA from 1 species